AUGCAACCCAUUUUCAUUUUCUUCUUGUUGAAAAUGACAUUAGUUUUCUUUCAAUACAAACAUUUUUCAAAAUGUUAUUUUUUCUAAAGUAAACCACUCCAUAUGCUCAGUCUGGGGUGUAGUUUCAAUUCUUAAAACUGGCAUUCCCUUGUACCUUGAUGACAGAUUUCUUAUCCUCGUUAUACCUGAGCCCCAAACUCAGACGAAAGUGAAAGGAGGUGUGAGGAGUGCAGUAAAGUCAGAGAGAGCACAGUGUGACGUAUGCAAUCCUUAUCCUUCCUACGUCAUUUGGAGCUUUUAUCACAACCUUGUGACAACUCCUGCUUUCCAUGCUACCUGUGUCCUGAAGAGCAGAUACAAUCCCAAAAGAAAAUCUGAAGGCAGACAGUGUGCACACUGAGCAAUGGUAGAAAUGGAAAUUCAAGAAAGCUUUCAGGGAGUAGGCAGAAACGUAUUCAGAGAUCACGGAACAUGAACAGAAUACGAUUGCAUUCUGUGAUCUAAUCUCAACAAAGAACGAGGGGGAAAAGUAUGAAUCUUCAUAGCAACUUUGAGUGAAUCCUGAGCUGUGCUUCUAAUGAAAACAGAAUCAAGAGAGUACACUGCCUGAAGACAGGUCAGAAAUGGGAGAAACUACUCUGAAGUAAGAGAAUUAGUUUGCUGCAAUUUUUUUUAGUCACCUUAGUGCAACCCUGUUUUAAACAAGGAAAGAGAGACAUUUUACAAGGCAAACCAGCAGUCAGUGAAGGGAUAGGCUCAGUCUCUUGCAGCUUAGAUAACAACAGCUGCUGAAUUUGUGGGGAAUUUGGUUUGGAAAAUGUGGGCCCAUGUAAUUGUGACUAACAGUAGGGAGGGUAAGAGUGGAAUGAGCUCACAAAUACAUUGUUAUGAGAAGUGUUGCAUUGUCUCUUUUGAAAAUAAUCAAUCUAUAUUCACCCUCAUUUAGAACCUGAGACACAAAAAUCUGAAUACAAAAUGCAAUAUAAAAUUUAACCAAGCCUUGUAGUACUAUAAAAUCCCUUUCCCCACCUGCCAUGGCUCUACACACAACUUCCUCACAGGAGCAUGGCGUGCUUCAGUACUCCAUUUUGCAUGAAUUUCAAAAACACUUCUACCUAAAACUUCAUCCCUAUACUGCUCUCACACAUUAUCCCUACACUGUUCUUAUAUGCAGCCUUGGGCUCCCACCAUCAGCCCCUCACUGCCAUCAUUCAUCAGCUCCUCCACAGAGCAUUGCUUUUUGCAUCCUGUCCCCACCACGUUGCAUAAGGUGAUUAGCUUUUCUUAUUCCUUUAAUAUUUUCCCCUCCUUAAAAAAAGCUAGCCUGAAUACUUAUUUUGCCAAAACAUACUUUUAAAAAUAUCUUGAUUUCUUCUGUGCUAAUUCUACGCUGCUGCUCUAACAUUUGUUUUCUGGACAGGAACGGAUUGCUCUUUUCAGGUAUGUUUCUUGUAUGGAAGGAACAGCCCUGUUUUCUUAAAGGAUGAUAAAACAAUACUGUAAAAUGUAAGACACUAAUAGCUUUUUCGCUUGCUGUGAUCUCCAGCUGCAGAGAUGCUACAGAAAGAGCAAGAAGUGUCUUAGCACCUCUUGUUCCUUACCCCAAGCUGGGCAGCAUACAGCUGAGCCUGAGCUGCUGGGAGGUAAACCAAACUGCAAACAAAUUAAAGAGAGGAGAUUUCCUCAGGACAGGUAUUUAGAGCUAUCAACAUAGCUCUAAAAUGGCAAAGAUCGACUGUGAAGCAAACACUAAAGCAACCUGUAGUGAAUAAUCAGGACUGACAGCAACUCUGCACAAUGUAACAGCUCACAAUACUUUACCAGUAAGUACAAAGAAAUGCCACUGUCAACAGUGGAACCUGUUUUCUCUCUGAACUUUCAUCUGUUUGCAUGCAUUUGUUUUCUCUUUUGUCAUACAGUAUUCUUCACAUCCUUGGGCAAACUUGGUCCCAAGGGUUUGUGCUGACAGCACAUGCAAGGAACAUCACCCCGGGACAGCACAGGGACUGUGUGGUCUAGCAGGCAGUGGAGCAUUGUGAAAGCACUCACAGUUGUUCUGCAGCUGCUAAUCUUUUCCUCCUACUUCCAUUCAAUUUCUGUUACCCUACUUGAAACUUUCCGUCAUUAGAAACACACUUCGAUUUGUUAUGUCUCCACCCAAUGCAGAACAAAAUGAAUACAUUUUUCUCAGGCAACUGCUGAUCUCUCUCUGGUGUAGAGCAAGCUCCAAGCUGAACAUCUGUCUCUUACGGACGCUGGUUGCCCAUGCAAAAGGAUCUGUCAUGCUGCUUACUGGCCGUGACUCAAUGGUGCUCAUAAAACUGAGGCUAUAGGAGCAGAGAGAAUUCAUUAGAGAAGUGCCAUUCUGCUCUCUCAUACACUCACUGAACUCCCUCUUUUCCUCCAAGUUAAGCAAUUCGCAAUAAAACUGUUUGCUUUUUCACCAUAGUGACAUUCCCUUCCUGUGGUCGGUGUGACAGGUCCUCAAAGUGACGGUGUUUGCUGAGUGUCACAACAUGGGGCAGAUACGUGGCAGCUCAUCCUCCUCAAUGAAGCAGGAAACACUGUGACUUUUACCAACGCCUCUGACAAUGUGCCACUUGGAAGAAAAGAUCGCACUUGUGACCCAGUUUUGCAAAGUAACAUUCUUGAAAAACUUGAUAAAAACAGAAAGCCUUACAGCCAUGAAUAGAGAAUGAGAAGAAACGUCCAUCUGAGGGCCAGAAAAGAAUGAACAUGUGCCGACCUAAAUACAAAAUUACUGAAGGCAUGCACAUAGUCUGGAAAUAUCGGAGCCUUCAGCAAAAUGCUUGUGGUUGUAAAACUAUCUGCAGGACUGAAAGCUUGCAAUGCCUGUAAAGUUGUGGUGUAACAAACCACAUUCAUCAGGCAACUGGCUCUGAUGAACACUUUUUCUCUCAUUUACCACAACUGAUUAUCUCUGAAAUUUGCAAUUUGACACAAGAGGUGGGCUUUGUCCUCACUCCCAGAGCUCUUCACCCAUUUUACAUCAGAUUGUCUGUGGAUAAAUGCAAAAUCAACUUGGGGCACAGUAAGUCCUGGUUCCCUCCUAGCAAAGACACUGUGGGAUAGAGCUCCAUCUCUCUUGGUCGCAGCAGGGACCAAAGAUUCCCUUCCCAUAUUGUUCAUCAUCAUUCUGGAAAAAAGGAGAAUUGAGACCUGCUGUCCCACUUCCUGAAAGACUGUGCUGGUUGCCAGGCUGUUGUGCAAAGCUGGACAGUACCAAGCUGCUGGUGGUUUCAGACAUGAGUGAUCUCACCUGCUGGACUUUCUGUUUUGAUGCUGUCACUACUCGUCACUGCCUGGAACAUGACUAAUGCUGCUGGCCGCUCUGCUGCCUGGGGAAUGUCUCUGCAGCCUAGAGCUUCUCAUUGUUUUAGCUUAACCUCCAAACUGAGCAUAAAAGUGCAUAAUUAAGUCCAUACAGUCCACAUAUAUCUUGGCUACAUUUCAGAAGGCAAUCUUUCAGGCAGUGUUCUUUUUGCUUGGAGGAGAACUCUUUCUUAUUCCUUUGGUGAGGCAGUGCUUACGCUGACCAGUCAUGCAAAUGGGGAGUGGUCAAAUGCAGUUACCAAAGAUAAGAAGAGCACAAGAUGCAGAACUGUAUAAAUCAAAACAAAUCUUGACAAGAUUUCAGUGUGCAAAACUGUUCUAAGUUCUCCUAAGGUAGCGCAGUAACUGCUGUUUAAUAGCACUGUCAUUAAAUAGUGAAAGAUUUCUUUUUAGGAUGACGCUUAUAGACAAAUGAGACAGAAAAUACAUCUGCAGAAAAACUGCCUCCUGCCAUAGGGCUUGAUUUUGCCUGAUCUUCUGAUUCUUUCAGAUUCAUUCCAAACUUUGUAGAACACAUGUCUGUGAUAAGCAAAGAAACAUGAAGUCAGAUAAUUGAGAUACUUUGAUGGCGGCCACCAGAAAUGAAGAAUAGCCACCUAUGAGGCAUAAGCACAGCUCUAAACCAAGGCUAUUACGGUACCAUCUGCUUACAAGGAUAAAAAACUGACUUAAGCUGCUCUCUGUACCAGAUCUGUCACAUGUCUGCCUCAGCAGGAAUACUCUUUUACUAGGGACUAUCAAAACUUGCCUGUUCAAGGCCCUGAAGAAACUCAUGUGGCUUUGAAGUGCCUUGUCAAUGAGAGGACCUCCAGAAUCACAGAAUUGUAGGGGUUGGAAGGGACCUCCAAAGAUCAUCGAGUCCAACCCCCCAGAAGCCCCUUCCAGCUGGAAUCCUGUAGAUCUCCACGAUCACUAUCUGAGCACACACCUGGACAUACAGCAUCCAAGCUAGAACCACAGCUGUUCUGAGCAAGUGGCCUUGGCACAGGCGCCAGGCGUUCAGCACAGUGGUGCAGACCUGAGAUGGCCCGGCCUGCAGAGGCCAUUACAGCGGUACCAGAGAGCUGAUCUGAUUGCCUGCAGUGGCUGUUCGCAGGCGAUGCCUAAAGAUCUGGAAUCAGCCCAAAUUAAACACGGGAAGGAAAAACGACAAUAACAACAGAAAAACAACAUCGAGAAGUGGUGAAACAGGGAAUAUUCACCUUUUACAACCAAGUAGAAGAAGAGAGCCUGACUGCUUUCAAAACACCAUGGAGCCCUCGGUUAUAGCACAGUCCUUGUUACAGCAAACCCCUAUUUAUGUUUUUAAUAAUACGCAUAAAGAGUUCCUAUUGCAUGGAUUGGAACACAGCUUCACUCCCAUCCCAUAAAUGUCCUGAACAGUGUACAAAAGCAGGGCCACUACAGGACUCCUUGCUAGCGUCUGCAGCAUCAUCACGUCCAGGUCUGACCUCCCACUCUUUGCUAGAACUACCCUCAUAUUUACUAUCUGUCUCAGGCUGAACUAAGAGGUUUUGCCCAAACCAAAGAUGUUUUAAGCAUCUGAGCUCCAAAUUAUUUGGUCUGGGAUCAGUCCACAACAGGGAGUCAUUUUUUUUUAAUCUGGUCACUGAAUCAAAAUAUCACUUUGUACAGUUGCCAAUUCCUCAGCCACACACAGGCACUAACAGGGUACAGAGGUUACUUACAUAACCUUCUUACAUCUUCAAUCUUUUUAAAAUGAAACAGUAUUUAUGUUAAGUUAAAUGUGCAGAUGCAUGGGACAAGGGGGAAAGUUUGGAUACGGUUAUCUAAAAUAUCCAAAAUCUUUGAAUCUCAAACAUAUGGAUUUGGGUAUGGCCAAUAACAUACCAAUAAUUAGAAUAACAGAAAUUCUAUGAUAGCAGAACUUUGGGGAAAAGCAUUUGGUUUUACACUGUUACAUUCAGUGUAUAUUGAGGUAAAACAUGCAUAAACAAAGUUGUAAUACUGUCUUUACACAGCACUACAUUCAUUUUCUACAAUCUAGGGUAAAGGUAAACAUCCUAGUUUACUGUACUAGAGGAAAAGUCACAAUCUUAUUUCAUGUUUGUAUUUUGAUAGCCUUUGCACUAUAUUUAUAGCUGACAUAACAUGAUGCUGUUUUUUCUUAUCAGCAGAAUGCACUGAGAAAAGGAAGAAAAUCUCUGCUAGCCUCUGCCUCAGAAAAUAUUUUCUUUGUGUUUCAAGUUUUCCUGUAGAAAGGGAAGAUUGUCUGUAGCCACGCUGUGACAUUUCAGAAACAGAGGUCAUAAUUUAGAAUAAAGGAAAGUGCUAUUAGUCAUGCAGUAAGGUGACCCACGUGUCCCUGCCAGACCCCUGCAGCACAACCGAUGACUUACCAGUGGCCACUCCCCACAGCCGCUCUUCUUGGAAUUGCAACAUCUGGUAUGUAAAACCCAUUCCUUCCUCACCAAUUAGGUUUUUGCUAGGGACUCUUACGUCUUCAAAAAAGAUCUGAGCUGUGUCCGAUGACCUCAUGCCCAGUUUGUCUAUUUUCUUAGUAAUGUGAAUGCCUGAAGAAAAAAAAAAAUAAAAGAGUAUUAGAAAGGCUACAAGAAA